rnacentral:rRNA from 1 species
GAUUCCACAAUGGGUGAAACCCUGAUGCAGCAACGCCGCGUGAGUGAAGAAGUAUUUCGGUAUGUAAAGCUCUAUCAGCAGGGAAGAGAAUGACGGUACCUGACUAAGAAGCCCCGGCUAACUACGUGCCAGCCGCCGCGGUAAUACGUAGGGGGUGAGCGUUAUCCGGAUUUACUGGGUGUAAAGGGAGCGUAGACGGUUCGGCAAGUCUGAAGUGAAAGCCCGUGGCUUAACCGCGGAACGGCUUUGGAAACUGUGGAACUGGAGUGCUGGAGAGGCAAGCGGAAUUCCUAGUGUAGCGGUGAAAUGCGUAGAUAUUAGGAGGAACACCAGUGGCGAAGGAGGCUUGCUGGACAGUAACUGACGUUGAGGCUCGAAAGCGUGGGGAGCAAACAGG